rnacentral:rRNA from 1 species
AUUGAACGCUGGCGGCAUGCCUUACACAUGCAAAUCGAACGGUAACGGGCCUUCGGGUGCCGACGAGUGGCGCACGGGUGAGUAAUACAUCGGAACGUGCCCGAUCGUGGGGGAUAACGAGGCGAAAGCUUUGCUAGUACCGCAUACGAUCUACGGAUGAAAGCAGGGGACCGCAAGGCCUUGCGCGGACGGAGCGGCCGAUGGCAGAUUAGGUAGUUGGUGGGAUAAAAGCUUACCAAGCCGACGAUCUGUAGCUGGUCUGAGAGGAUGAUCAGCCACACUGGGACUGAGACACGGCCCAGACUCCUACGGGAGGCAGCAGUGGGGAAUUUUGGACAAUGGGCGCAAGCCUGAUCCAGCCAUGCCGCGUGCAGGAUGAAGGCCUUCGGGUUGUAAACUGAUUUUGUACGGAACGAAAAGCCUUCUUUUAAUACAGGAGGGUCAUGACGGUACCGUAAGAAUAAGCACCGGCUAACUACGUG